rnacentral:rRNA from 1 species
CAAUAGCGUAUAUUAAAGUUGUUGCGGUUAAAAAGCUCGUAGUUGGAUUUCUGCUGAGAACGACCGGUCCGCCCUUUGGGUGUGUAUCUGGCUCUUUCUUGGCAUCUUCUUGGUGAACGUUGCUGCACUUGACUGUGUGGAGCGCUACCCAGGACUUUUACUUUGAGGAAAUUAGAGUGUUUCAAGCAGGCAUACGCCUUGAAUACAUUAGCAUGGAAUAAUAAGAUAGGACCUCGGUUCUAUUUUGUUGGUUUCUAGAGCUGAGGUAAUGAUUAAUAGGGAUAGUUGGGGGCAUUCGUAUUUAACUGUCAGAGGUGAAAUUCUUGGAUUUGUUAAUGACGGACUACUGCGAAAGCAUUUGCCAAGGAUGUUUNCAUUGA